rnacentral:rRNA from 1 species
GAUCCUGCCGGACCCCACUGCUAUCGGGAUGGGACUAAGACAUGCUAGUCGUGCGCCUCCUAGCCAUGAUGGAGGCACGGCGCACAGCUCAGUAACACGUUGCUAACCUACCCUUGGGACGGAAACAUCCCCGGGAAACUGGGGCCAAUUUCCGAUAGGUGAAGACUCCUGGAAUGGGUCUCCGCUGAAAAGGCAUUUAGGUCAUGCUUCUGGAUGCUGCCCAAGGAUGGGGCCACGGCCGAUCAGGUUGUUGGUGAGGUAACGGCCCACCAAGCCUUUAACCGGUUCGGGCCGUGGGAGCGGGAGCCCGGAGAUGGGUACUGAGACAAGAACCCAGGCCCUACGGGGCGCAGCAGUCGCGAAAACUUCGCAAUAAGCGAAAGCUUGACGGGGCUAUCCCGAGUGCCAUCUGCUGAGGAUGGCUUUUCUUCAGUGUAUAAAGCUGGGGGAAUAAGGAGAGGGCAAGUCUGGUGUCAGCCGCCGCGGUAAUACCAGCUCUCCGAGUGGUGAGGACGUUUAUUGGGCCUAAAGCAUUCGUAGCCGGCUGGGCAAGUUCUCCGUUAAAUCCAGCGAUCUAAUCGUUGGACUGCGGGGAAUUCUGUCCGGCUAGGGGACGGGAGAGGCCGACGGUAUUCUCGGGGUAGGGGUGAAAUCCUAUAAUCCCGAGAAGACCACCAGUGGCGAAGGCUGUCGGCUAGAACGGGCCCGACGGUGAGGGAUGAAAGCUGGGGGAGCGAACCGGAUUAGAUACCCGGGUAGUCCCAGCUGUAAACGAUGCAGGCUAGGUGUCAGGGCGGCCACGUGCCGCUCUCGUGCCGCAGGGAAGCUGUUAAGCCUGCCGCCUGGGGAGUACGGCCGCAAGGCUGAAACUUAAAGGAAUUGGCGGGGGAGCACCACAAGGGGUGAAGCUUGCGGUUUAAUUGGAGUCAACGCCGGG